CCUACGGGAGGCAGCAGUAGGGAAUCUUUCACAAUGGGCGAAAGCCUGAUGGAGCAACGCCGCGUGCAGGAUGAAGGCCUUCGGGUUGUAAACUGCUUUUAUAAGCGAGAAAUAUGAUGGUAACUUAUGAAUAAGGAUCGGCUAACUACGUGCCAGCAGCCGCGGUCAUACGUAGGAUCCGAGCAUUAUCCGGAGUGACUGGGUGUAAAGAGUUUCGUAGGUGGCAUAAUAAGUAGCUAGUGAAAUCUGGUGGCUCAACCAUUCAGACUAUUAGCUAAACUGUUAAGCUCGAGACCGUUAGGGGUAACUGGAAUUUCUAGUGUAGGAGUGAAAUCCGUAGAUAUUAGAAGGAACACCAAUAGCGUAGGCAGGUUGCUGGGACGGUUCUGACACUAAGGCACGAAAGCGUAGGGAGCAAACGGGAUUAGAUACCCGAGUAGUC
rnacentral:rRNA from 1 species